rnacentral:rRNA from 1 species
UACAGAGGUCCCAAGCGUUAGGCGGAAUCACUGGGCUUAAAGCGUGUGUAGGCGGAUUUGUAAGUACCUUGUGAAAUCCCACGGCUCAACCGUGGAACUGCUUGGUAUACUGCUUAUCUUGGGCCAUCUAGGGGCGAGCGGAACAAACGGUGGAGCGGUGAAAUGCGUAGAUAUCGUUUGGAACGCCAAUGGUGAAAACAGCUCGCUGGGGAUGUGCCGACGCUGAGAUACGAAAGCCAGGGGAGCGAACGGG